rnacentral:rRNA from 1 species
GCAUAUCAAUAAGCGGAGGAAAAGAAACUAACAAGGAUUCCCCUAGUAACUGCGAGUGAAGCGGGAAAAGCUCAAAUUUAAAAUCUGGCAGUCUCUGGCUGUCCGAGUUGUAAUCUAGAGAAGUGUUAUCCGCGCUGGACCAUGUACAAGUCUCCUGGAACGGAGCGUCAUAGAGGGUGAGAAUCCCGUCUUUGACAUGGACUACCAGGGCUUUGUGAUGCGCUCUCAAAGAGUCGAGUUGUUUGGGAAUGCAGCUCAAAAUGGGUGGUAAAUUCCAUCUAAAGCUAAAUAUUGGCGAGAGACCGAUAGCGAACAAGUACCGUGAGGGAAAGAUGAAAAGAACUUUGGAAAGAGAGUUAAACAGUACGUGAAAUUGUUGAAAGGGAAACGCUUGAAGUCAGUCGCAUUGGCCAGGGAUCAACCUUACAUUUGUUGGGUGUACUUUCUGGUUAAUGGGUCAGCAUCAAUUUUGACUGUUGGAAAAAGGUCAGGGGAAUGUGGCAUCUUUGGAUGUGUUAUAGCCCUUGGUUGUAUACAGCAGUUGGGAUUGAGGAACUCAGCACGCCGCAAGGCCGGGUUUUUACCACGUACGUGCUUAGGAUGCUGGCAUAAUGGCUUUAAUCGACCCGUCUUGAAACACGGACCAAGGAGUCUAACAUGCCUGCGAGUGUUUGGGUGGAAAACCCAUGCGCGUAAUGAAAGUGAAAGUUGAGAUCUCUGUCGUGGAGAGCAUCGACGCCCGGACCAGACCUUUUGUGACGGUCCCGCGGUAGAGCAUGUAUGUUGGGACCCGAAAGAUGGUGAACUAUGCCUGAAUAGGGUGAAGCCAGAGGAAACUCUGGUGGAGGCUCGUAGCGAUUCUGACGUGCAAAUCGAUCGUCGAAUUUGGGUAUAGGGGCG